rnacentral:misc_RNA from 1 species
GUAAACUGUACCUGGCUA